ACUAAAGGAAUCCUGCUAGCAACAACCUCCUGCUAGUCUCCGCGAAGUAAUACCUAACGGUGGGCCCGCGGGGCAGAGUGGUGGAGGAAGCGUGUGUGGGUGGGGGCAGUUUUUAGCACGUAGGCGCCAUGGAUGGCGAAUCGUGCAUGCAUCUCUUGAAGAUUUUCUACCUCCAGCUCGC
rfam:Glossina austeni unplaced genomic scaffold Scaffold328, whole genome shotgun sequence.